UUCUUGAUGAGAAGGACAAUCCUGGCUUGCUCAAAUUGUUUAUCAGGAAAAGUCACACAACAGAAAUGAAUGCCGCCAGACCACGGCACCAGCUCAGUGUGGUGCUGAAUAAUCCAUCUGCCUGGAUUAGGUGGAGAGCAUCAGUUUUUUUGCUUUCACAGUGCACACUUGAGUAGGCGUGAGUAACCAACUUGUACAUCAUCCUGAGGAAGCAGGUCCAUCAUGAUGGCAGUUACCUACCUAAACACCUCUAUCCUGUCAGGUUAGAAAUGCCAGUCCAAGUUGUUCCCGGAUAGCCAGUCUAAGACAAGUGUUCCAAACUCUAAUUCACUCAUCUUGAAUCUCAUAUUCACCUGGAAGCCCA
rnacentral:lncRNA from 1 species